AACCGAGGAAGUGCUACAGUUAUUUGGUAAAACUUUCACAAUAUGAGUCGACUAAGUAAAAAUUUACAUAUUAAUUUUAAAGAAUAUUGGGAGAAAAGUGGUAUAUAAUUUUUGUUAAUAUUUUAAAUUUGCGACGGAUGAAUUCAAAAUUAGCAAAGUUAGACUAACAAAAAGAAUACUCAAGUGAAUAUGUGCAUUAAAUAAAAAAAUGUGAAGUGAUUUGAUUAAAAUUUAGUAAACUUGUAUUAUAAUGGCAUAAAAUCAAAGUGUGCAUUAGUGUAAACUGAACAAAAAGUGCAAAGUGCAACUAAUAGCAGAUUGUGUAGGCUCACUAUUAAAUUUUAUUUAUAAAUAAUGUUUCACAUUUUUAUAUUUGCAAUUAUUAUCUAUACGUAAAUCCCUUUAGUUCUAAAUAUGUGCAAUAUUUAUUUUAUUCAUUAUUGUUUUAAUUUUUACACACACAUCUUUCUCUUUUUGUUUUUUCGGGGUUUUUUAUUAAGCGGGGAAUUUUCUCGUUUGUUUAAAAUACUUUAUAUUUCUGCUAUGUAUCCAUUUCUUUUCUGCUAUGUUACGCUAUAAUGUGACUUACGCUCUUUUAGUUUUAUCAUGUUGGAAAAGUACAAUAAUUAUUAAAAUUUACGUCUUCGAAUAACAUAGAUUUGGGAUCCAUCGUUUGAUAUUUGAUACGACGUGACGUUUCAGAAAGAAAUUUACCUAGUUUUUUAAAGAACAUAGUUACAAUAAUUGUACACUCAGUCAAAUCAAUUUUAUAAUCAACAAUUUUACAAUAUUUAAUGCAAAUAAUACACAUAAUAAGUAUUAAAAAUUAAAAUACUAAUAUUGUAUGGUUUAAAUUAAAAUACAAUAUUGACAGCAUGACAACGACAUCUGUGAGAUAUUUUUUGACAUCAGCAACUUCGGUUAUUGUCGUCAGGCGAGAGGACAUCGAAAGAUCGAGAUGAAAAAAAGAAAGAAAAUCAAGCUGCCUAUCUCACACAUCAUACCAUCUAAAAGGAAGAAAUUGUUUCUGUAAUACAACGUGAAUUAUUUUUGCGAACUCAUCCCCGCAAAUCGUACCGGUGAUAAAGGAAAGGAAAAUUUAUAAAAAAGACAAUGGUAGUCUUCGCUAUGGACGUUCGUGAUGUAGCCAUUACAGUGGCUGUCGUUUUUACCGCCAUCUUUAUUAUCGUGACCAUAUUGAAGUAUACUAGUAAUAAGAUGAAAAUAGAAGAUGGUAUCUAUAUAAAAAUGAUAUACAUCCUAGUUGGUAUUAUAGCUAUUGCUAUUAUAUGGUGCUUUGUCAUUAAAAAAUAUAAAGUAGUCCAACAACAACAGCAAACCAAAAGCAACAAUAAUAAUAUGAGUUCUCCACUUAUACCACUUUCAACACUGUCUCAAGUUCAACAAAAAGUUACUUUGGAAUACGUCAAUGAGAUGGAGAAGUAAUUAUAAUAAAAAUUGACUCUCUAGUUAACAGCUUUCCAGUAAUGAUCUAAGACUAAAAUAUUGGAACAAAAAUUUGAUAGACGACUAUAAAUUAGUUACAAUUGAGUAUUAUUUUAAAUAAUUUUUAUUUCUUACUUAUUCUAGCUAUCUAUAGAUGUAUUCCAAUUUAAAGAGAAACACGUUUAGAGAGAUUUUUAACAAUUUAAUUUGCAGAAAAUGACUUGUGUUAAGUCAAUAAGCAAUUACUGCCAAAGCAUAAUAUGUGAUUAUUAAAAAAAAAUUUGUAAUAAUUAAAAAUGAUUAGUUCCUAUAUUAUAUUAAAUCGUAUCCAGUAUUUGAGCAAUGUGAUUUUUAAGUAACCUGCUAAAAUGUUUAGCUUAACAGUUUGGUGUAAUUCUAUUAUGCAUCUUCUUCCGAAGUGACACGGAAUAAGUGUUUUCGAAAUAUAAACUAUUUUGCGGAAUAUAUCAAUUAUUCAAUGAAAGCAUAAAAUAUAAAAUUAUGUCUUUAUUAUCUUUUAUUUGGGUAACUUGUGUAAAACUCUAAUACUUCAGGAAUCGAAGCAUUCAAAAAUUGAAACAUUACUGACCACUAUUACUGGAAAAUCUGGGGAAAGUUAAUUGAAAAGGCGUACCUCGUGGGUAUCGAACUUUCUACUGCGUCAAGGUUUUUUAUUAACAUUUAAGCAAAAAUUGCCUUUUUUCAUUGAUGCCAAUGUUCUGAAAAGCUACGAAUUUUAGAUGAGAACGUUCAACAGAUGACUUUAUUGAAAAUACUUGCUCUUUAACCAAGAACAUCUUUAACUAAAUUAAAAAAUGUGUAUCUACAUAUAAACUUUUUUUCAAUUGUUUAUAAUUAUUAAAAUAAAUAAUAAAAAUAUUUAAAACAUAUUUCACAAUAUACUUACUAAAUAUUUGUGAAAUUACUAUACAGGAUUUUUGGUAACGGAUGGGCUAUAGCUUAACCUUCCUUAACCUUAGUUUCCUGAGGUUAAAAUGGUUUGAAUUAAGCUAACUUACCUUAGUGCAAAAGUUGACAUAUCAUAUCCCUUCUACCAUACAAUGGUGAAAGGUUGCAACUUUAAUCUACCAACUUAACAUAUCUAGUUUUACAUACUUACUAAUAUACAAAUUAUACCUUUACAUCUAAUUCUAAAAUUCUAAUUAAUUUCAUUAAUUCUAUAAAAUAUCAGUUAUAAGGGUUUAUUUCGAAUCAUUUGACAUGGAAAUCACAAAAGUCAUUUUUAAAACCUUUUUAUAUACUUGGGUUGGUUGGUGUCACAGACUGCGCAAAUUUUGUAAUCCAUUUUAAAAAUAGUUCUAGGCUACCUAGACACCUGCAAUUUUCAGGAUAGCUUAGAACUAGCUAACAAUGCAAUAUUUUACUGCUAUUAUACAGGGUGAUUAAUAAUUAGUGGGGUGAAGCUCCGUAGAUCCGUUAUAAUAAUGUAUAGCGAUAAAACUUAAUAACAAAAAUUGUAGCGAACUUUGAGCUUCACAUUACAAAAUUAGUUAGAGUGUUACAGGGUGUUCGAUAACAUAGUGACAGACAAAAUUUAUGUUUUUUUUAAUAGAACACCCUGUAUUUUAUUUUAUAUUCGAAAUCUUCGUAACUUUUCGAUUACAAAAAUGUAAAUGUUUGGUAUGUUAUACGGGGUAUUUACAAAGUUAUAACCAAUUUUAUAUGAAAAUCGUAACAAGUUUAACUACCUGUAUAAAUAAAAGCAAGCACAAGGUCAAUGGUUUGUUGACGUCAUAUUUUUUUAUUUAUUGUCAAAAUUUUCGUUAGAACACCCUGUAUUUUAUAUCAUUAUCGAAAAGUACCAUUACAAUACUAUAAUUUUUGUAUAACAUUCCCUAUGUAUAAAUUUAUUAGUUUUUCGAGAUAUUUUCAUUUUUCACAGCAAAAUUAUUAAUAAUUACGGGUCUAAAUCUUUCCAAAUUUUAAGUAACCCAUUACUGAAUAAUUGUCUAAAACUUAUAAUUUACGAUUACUGAUUAUCAACCUGUAAUCAAAGUUGGCUACAAUUUUUGUUAUUAACUUUUAUUACUAUCUCGGAGGUUACACCUCCUAGGCUUCUACAAUUUGCAAGCCAUACGGAUGCUGAGACUAAGGAAGAUGAGGGAAUCAGGGAGAGCAGCAUAUGUGCCUCCUGAUGAGAGACUAAUUAGUUUCGAAACCGGUAGAGGUGCUUGCUGCACUCUCUGAUUGGACUAGAAUAUGGUUCGGCUGUAUUUUCGUUUUGCAACGAAAUUUAAAAUGGUUAUAUUCAUUUUUAAAUAAUUAAAAGUUUAUAUACUUAAAAUUAUAUAUACCAUUUUAAACAACCGUGGUACUAUAAAAAAAUACUAUUUUAUACUAGUGUAGUUUUUCGAAUCAUAAUUAGAAAUAACAAUUAGUACACCUACUAAAAAUUCAUAUUUUAUAAGUUAAUUAUUCUUUCCAAACAUGUUGUGUCCUAGAUGUACAAUAACAAAACCGUGAUAUUAUAAAAAGUAUUUUUUUAUUAGAGUGAAAUUCUUGUAAUUUUAAGCUUGUUAUCGUUAAAUCGUUUAUCGUUAAAUUAUUUUAUAUUCUUUCCUAUAAAAAUAAUAAAAAGGUUUUAUUAUACAAAAAUUCUUUUUUAUAAAAGUGUAAUUAUUUUACAUAUCCUAGCUACUGUUGUUUUGAGGCGACGACUUUUACCAGGUACUUUAAAAUUAUUUGACAUAUUAUUAUCAUCCUCAUCAUACUUGGCAGGAGGUGUCGGUACUAUACAGUUAUAUACCAUACUAAAUUAUAUUAAAUAAUCGUUUCUGGCUACUAGCAGAGGCGUACGAUAGAGAAAAGUGAAUGGUUGAUCCUUCCCAAAUUCUACGCCACUGACGGUACAGCUACUUUGAUAUAAUUUUUAGAUCCGCCAGUACUUUGUAUGUAAUAAUGUACUGUUCAUUAAUAACGAUACAGUCAUUAGCUUUCGAGAUAUUUGAAGUUAAAAAUGAAACGGCACAGUUAUUUUGAUUAAUGUAUUAUGCCACUUUGUUUUAAAUUUCAAAUAUCUCGAAAACUAAUGACAUUAUCGUUACGAAAGAAGCGUACCUUAUUUACAUAGAAAGUAUUAGAGAAUCCAAAAAUGCACUAAAAUAGCAAUCCCGCCAGUUGCGUAGAAUAUGGUAAGGGUCUUUCCUUCGUCGUACGCCACUGUUAAUAGCCAAAAACGUUUGUUUAACAUAAUUUAGUAGGGUGUACAGUAUCUACACUUUUUGUCAAUUAUAACAAGGAUAUGUCAAAUGGUUUUUAGUAACUACAAUGAAAUGCAAAAAAUUGAAAUUUGCAUCGUAGAUUUAAAAUGCGUUUAUUUCAAAAACAGUUGAGUUUAGCGAGAUGAAUGUAGUAUACUUUUUUUAAUUAAAAAUAAUAGUGGAAUAAAAGUUUUGAUCUCAAAAUUAUGUAUAAUGGGGGAUAAAAAAAAUUGAACGUAUUAAAUGAGCGCUGAAAGACGUAUGUGGCGCCCUCAGGUAAUAUCCAUAAUAUAAGGAGAUAGACUUUACGAAGAGAAGAAAAUCAAGAGAGCCCUUCUAAAUAUUAACAAAGCACCUUUACAGCCAUUUGAAAAUGAUCUUUUUGUCUCAAAUGGAAUAAACAAAUAAUCUUCUUCUUCUUCAGGUGCCAUCUCCGCUACGGAGGUUGACAAUCAUCAUAGCUAUUUUUAUUUUUGAGGCAGUAGCUCUAAAUAGUUGUUUUGAGCUGCAGCCAAACCAUUCUCUCAGGUUCUUCAGCCAUGAAAAUCGUCUUCUUCCGAUGUUUCUUCUGUCAUCUAGCUUUCCUUGCAUUAUGAGUCGCAGGAUACCAUCAUACUUCUCGCCCCGCAUCACAUGUCCGAGAUACUUAAUAACACUCAGAUACUUAAUUAUAUUAUUUACAACAAAUAAUAGAAUUGUUUACUACUCAACCGAUCAGAUUCAUCUUUGACACAUAAAUUAUAGGUAGUAACACAGCCACCUUUACUUUACAAACCAUGAAGAGAAAAACGCAACGUCGCAAUUGAUGACGUCGGCAGUCUGCCUUUCGGACUACCGCUUUCGAAACCACGACUUUAAAAUACAAAUUCAAGUAAAAUUUAUAGUAAUUUUUGAGUCAAACAGGAAAAUGUAUUAACUAGAAGGUUUUACAAAAUCAAAUUAAAAGUAAUUCUUUGUAAGUAACUGUUAUUAUACAAAAAAAAAACAAUGACAAGAAUAUGUGUAAUAUACUUUAUUUUAAAUAAAUAAUAUCUUAUUUUAAAUUAUAUACAAAAUAUCGCUAGAAAUAACUAUAAAAACAAUUGCUCACAAUGUUUGAUGUGCAUUGUUGGGGUUUAGAGUAGAUAACUUUCUUUUUUGUUAUCGCCCUUAAUCGUUAUUUUUCUUUUUAUACUUUUUUGAAGAUUCAUUACUUUGAUGGCUGCUAUUUUUGUAUAAUUAUCUAAAACAAUAUUACGCAUAAUUUUUAUAACAGUAGAAUAAACUUUGAAGGCAUUUUCCCCACAUUCACACUAAAAUUAAAAUGUUAAAUUAAACCCUUCAUGCUGUUGUAAACUUUUCAUUACCAAAGAUGAUAAUAACACCGCAGGUGACAAUAAUUAUUUUGCAAAAAUAAUUUUUUAAGAUUGGGAUUGUUAAUAAUAGGGGUUCAAAGGAGUAGUGAUGCGCAAUACAUACAAGGUGUCGCUUGCUCAUAACACCUCUAGCCACUCCUACUCAAUUCCUAUGCUCACCUCCAAGAAGUGUGACUUAGUCACACGGGUGGACCCUGGUAAACCUGAGCAACCCUUCCGGAGAUUGGGUAACCAACCCCAGUGGAAAGUAGAAUCGAGAAUUUCUGAUCAAUGCUCUGAAAGAGUUUAAUAUUCCAACUCAUCUCAUUGGAAUAGUAAAAGAAACACUUAAAGUACAAAGCAGGGUUCGAAUUGAAAACGCACUAACAGAUACAAUCCAUGUUAGAACGGGCCUACGACAGGGAGAUGCCCUAUCCUGUAUUCUAUUCAACAUCACAUUGGAGAAAAUAAUUAGAGAGUCAAAAGUCAACCCCAGAGGAACAGUAAUAACAAAAAGUGUACAAAUGUUGGCAUUUGCAGAUGAUGUUGAUAUCAUAGCUAGAAAAGCUAGAAGCGAAAGAGAAAUGAUAGAAGCAUUUAAUGCUAUAGAAAGAGCGGCACAAAACAGUGGCCUAAAUAUUAAUGAAAUAAAAACCAAAUACAUGAAGGCCAGCAAAUCGACAGGCCAAAGAAACCUACAGAAUCUGAAAAUAGGAGACUAUAACAUCGAAAGCGUAAAAAAAUUUACAUAUCUAGGUUCACUGGUUACCGCAGAUAACAAUGUCAGCGAAGAAGUUAAGAGAAGAAUACAUAUUGCUAAUAAAACAUUUAAUGAACUCAUUAAAUAUCUAAGAUCUAACAACAUCACGAGAAAAACCAAAUGCAAAAUAUACAAAACCCUGAUAAAACCGGUCCUUAUAUAUGGAUCAGAGACAUGGACACUGACGAAAAGCGAUGAGAACUUAUUAGGUACGUUUGAACGAAAAAUCCUUAGACACAUAUAUAAGGGGGUGAAAGAAAAUGACGUAUGGCGCAGAAGAUAUAAUUUUGAACUACACGCAGCAUACAGUGAACCCGACGUCAUAACAUCCAUAAAGAUCGGACGUCUGCGCUGGAUGGGCCAUGUUGAACGAAUGUUGAAGACCGAAACACCAAAACACAUAAUGAAGCAAACACCAGUAGGUAGAAGGUCAAAGGGAAGACCCAAACUUAGAUACAUGGAACAAGUGGAACAAGAUCUGAAAACACUUGAGAUUACCCACUGGAAGAACAAAGCAAGGAACAGAACAGAAUGGCGGAAAAUCCUAGAACAAGCCAGGACCCAAAAGGUUGUCGAGCUACUGAUGAUGAUGAUGAUUGUUAAUAAUAAAUUCAAAUGUUAAACAAAGGUGAUAAUAAAUAAAUUUUACUGAAUCCUUUGCUAAGCACAAACCAUCCCUUUGCAAAUAAUCAUAGUAAUCUGCUCCAGUUGUCUCUCCUUUACUGCAAAAAACAAGCUGUUUGAACUAGAAUAAUCUUACCUAAUAACAUACCUUUGGAAGAUCUUUAUAAUUUGUAGCAAGAAAUACUGUAAAAUUUUUCAGUUUCCCUGUAAAUAUGGUGGCUAUUGUUUACCAACAAAUGAGAACUGACAGACUUAACCACCAUGACAGUCUACCAUUAGAUGUUGCCAAGUUUUAACUUCAUGGCUUGUUAAGUAAAGCUGUGGUAGUAACUACAUAAAAGCUCAUAUCAUGAAAAUAUGUUUCAAAUUUUUCAAUUUGCUUUUUGUUAAACAUUUUUUAAUUUAGAAAAUAUCAUUUCAAAGACCAAGUAUAUUCAAGAAAGUCAUCUGUUGAACGUUUUCCUAUACAAUUCGUAGUUUUUUUACAAAUUGAAAUGAAUGAAAAAGUCGCUUUUUGCUUAAAUGUUAAUAAAAAACCAUGAAGAAGAAAAAAUUUCAAUACCCACGAGAUGGUAGGCAUUUUCUCUUGACUUCUCACAGAUAUUUCAGUUAAAAAAUAGCGAUCAGUAAUUUUUAGUUUUUUAAGUGAUUCUUCGGCUUCCUUUCCUGGGGUAUAACUUGAUUUUAAACUUUGGGUACAUUCAUUAUUUGAAUGAUAAUCUUGAAUUUUUAAUUUUAAUAUGGCAGUACAAAUGCUGAAAACGCUUUAUUCAAUCUGAAUCUGGAAGUAAAUGUUUAUAAUUCAAUUUCUAUAAUGGGUGUCCACUUAUAUUUUCCCCAAUUUUAACUGCCUAUAACUUCUAAACGGCUCAAGAUAGAAAUAUGUGGUUUUCGCUGAAAUGUUUUAUUUUAGUAAAAGUUUUGUCUGAAUGGAUUGAAUUUUUUAUAUCGCUCUUCAAUACGAAAAUAAAAAUGGCGGAUUUUUGAAAAAAAACGUUGUUGACUUUUUUUUUAAUGGAACAUCCAGUAUAUUUUUUUGUAAAUUGAAAGAAAGGUUAUUCACCUAUCGAGCGAUAUAAAGUUUUUCAAAAUCAGUUGUCAAAUCACUGAGUAAUUAAUUUUUAAAUUGAGAGGUGCAACGUGGAUAUCACAUACCUAAAUAACAUAACUAAGCAAAUUGAUAUUAUGUUAUGUGAUUUUCACAUUGCAUCUCUCAUUUUAAAAAUUAAUUGCUCAGUUUUUCAAGUUUUUAGGUAAAUGACCAUUUUUUAUAUCGCUUUUAAAUAAAAAAUGGCGGAUUUAAAAGAAAAACGUUGUUAACUUUUUUUAUUAAAACACCCAGUAUACUUUUUUGUAACUUGAAAAAAACGGUCAUUUACCUAUCCAUCGAUAUCAAAUUUUUUAAACUCGGUUGUCAAAUGACUGAGCAAUUAAUUUUUAAAAUGAGAGAUGCAAUGUGGAAAUCACAUAACAUAAUAUCAAUUUGCUUCGUUAUGGUAUUUAGAUAUGUGAUAUCCACGUUGCACCUCUCAUUUUAAAAAUUAAUUACUCAGUGAUUUGACAACAGGUUUUUAAAAACUUUAUAUCGCUGGAUAGGUUAAUGACAUUUCUUUCAAUUUACAAAAAAAUAUAUACUGGGUGUUCCAUUAAAAAAAAGUCAACAACGUUUUUUUUUUUCAAAUAUCCGCCAUUUUUAUUUUCAUAUUUGAAAGCGAUAUAAAAAUAUAAAAAAUUUAAUCCAUUCAGACAAAACUUUUACUAAAAUAAAACAUUUCAGCGAAAACCGCAUAUUUCUAUCUUGAUCCGUUUAGAAGUUAUAGGCAGUUAAAAUGGGGAAAAAUAUAAGUGGACACCCGGUAUUAUACAGCGUGCCCCAAAAGUAGCAGAACGGUCGAAUAUUUCGUAAACUAAACAUCGGAGCGAAAAACUGAAAAACAAGUUUUAAAUAAUUUUUAAAAAUCUAUUCAAUGACACCAACCGCAAUCCCCCACUCCAUCCCCUGGUGGUUGGGUGGGGGGUAACUUUAAAAUCUUAAAUAGAAACCCCCAGUUUUUAAUCCAGAGAUUCCUUCUGUAAAAGUAAGCAACUUUUAUUUGAGACAUUUUUUCGAAUUGUGGAUAGAUGGCGCUAUAAUCGGAAAAAACAAUUUAUUGUAAUACCAUGGCUAAAUUAUAAAAACGCUCUAAUAUCUCGAGAUGAGAUACCUUCAAAUGAAAAACCAAAAAAUAUGUGUAUAAUAUUUUUCAAAAACCUAUCGAAUAACACUAAACAUGACCCUCUACCUCACCCCCUACAGGUGGGGUGGGGGUUAACUUUAAAAUGUUAAAUAGCAACCUAUAUUUUUUUACCGAUUUGGAUUAAUCAUCAAAAAUUGAGUAACAUUUAUUUACAACAUUUUUUAGAAUUGUUGAUAGGUGGCGCUAUAAAUGGAAAAAGUCUAUUUAUUAGCGCCAUCUAUCAACAAUUCUAAAAAUUGUUUCGAACAAAUGUUGCUUAAUUUUUCAUGACAAAUCCAAAUCUGCAAUAAAAAAUGGAGAUUGUUAUUUAAGAUUUUAGAGUUACCCCCACCCCACCUCCAGCUUGUGGAGUGGGGGGCCGUGUUUGGUGCCAUUCGACAGUUUUUUGAAAAAUAUUAAAUACGUAUUUUUUUUGUUUUUCCUUUGGAUGUGCAUUUCUCUAGAUAUUAUAGACCGUUUCUAUUAUUUACCUAUGACAUCAGAAUAAAUGUAUUUUCUUUUUCGAUUAUAGCGCCGUUCAAAAAAAUGUCUUUAAUAGAAGUUAUUUACUUUUACGUAAGGAAUCAAAAUGUGAAAUAAAACUUGGGGCCUCCAUUUAAGAUUUCAAAGUUACCCCCGCCCCACCUCUAGGAGGUAGAGUGGGGGUCGUGUUUUUUGUCAUUCGAUAGAUUUUUGAAAAUUUGAACACGUAUUUUUCAGUUCUUCGAUACCACGUUUAUUUCGAGAAAUAUUAGACCGUUCCGUUACUUUUGGGACACCCUAUAUAUUAAAUCAGUUUUUAUUAUUUGGUUAAAAAUUUAUUAGUAAUAGGUCUGGAUCCCGCGUAUGAAAAAAAAAGUUGAUUAAUAGCAAGCUGAAAAUUUGUUAAUAGCCUAAGGGUGUCUAGUCGGAUAAACUUUGAUAUAUGGGAACACUGGAACAGGGGGAGUUUUAAUUGUGGAACAGGUUAAAAAUUUGGAACGGUCAGACCACGAAAACGGCACAUUUAUUUUGUCCGACAGAACAGACUUAAACUCUCCGAACAGAGAUUAAACUCUCAUGCAAAAAUCAGACUGCUAUUUAUCACCUGUCAUUUGACAUAUUCUACAUGUUCCACUCAUUAAAACGCCCAUUUGGUGAUAAAUAGCAGUCUGAUUUUUGCAUGAGAGUUUAAUCUCUGUUCGGAGAGUUUAAGUCUGUCCUGUCGAACAAAAUACAUGUGCCGUUUUCGUGAUCUGACCGUUCCAAAAUUUUAACCUGUACCACAAUUAAAACUUCCCCUGUUCCAGUGUUCCCAUAUAUCAAAGUUUGUCCGACUAGACACCCUUAAGCUAUUAACAAAUUUUCAGCUUGCUAUUAAUCAACUUUUUUUUCAUACGCGGGAUCCAGACCUAUAAGUGGCAUCUCAGAUUGGUAGGCUGACAUUGCUUUAUUUAUAGUACAGUAGUCAUAGACGAAAAUGCCUCUGAACCUCUUAAAACCAUACAAACAAGCUAAAUGUUGCUGAAAAUUCGCUGGGACCCAAAAAAACGUCCAAAAAUGUUUGUCAUUCCUACCCCGGUGCUUCCCCAAGAAACCCUCAUCGUAGUAGGGGGGUGACUGAAAACAUUGAUUUACCAAGAAUUUGUACGCAGUAGAAAAAAAUUAUCCACAAAAAUGUAGAUGAGAUCAUUUUGAACAAAAAUGUUUAUUACCGCUUUUUUGUGUAGAAUCAACGGUUGUCUCAUAAACAACGCUUGAAACGACCGACGAUUUUUAAUGUCAGUUACGAGCGUGCAAUCAAUUUUUUUAAAUAAAAUUCUAUAUCCUAUCGAUCAAAAACAAAAUACGUUUUAAAGAUGAAGAGUGCAGCUCUUAUAUGCAGUUAUUUCAUUUUGCCGCGAAUGAAGUCAGUUUCUAUAUAACUGUUAAAGAAAUAAAGGUUGAUUGAUUGUUGCUAUUUCUUGAGCGGUCGCUAUAGGAUUUCCAUUGUUAGAGUCCAAUAUUCACAACUUAAGACAUGAACCUUCGAUUUUAAGUUUUGGCAAGAAAUACAUAUACGCUGAAUUUAAAACUGACUAAACUACUAAAAAACGCUGAAUUUAAACUUCACAUUACAAAUGACCUCAUGUCACGGGAAAAGCUUCCACGAAGACAGUAUUGGAUGUAAAUUAUAGCUGAAGUUAGAUCAUUUCAAAAUAGUUAUUUAUAAAACAGUUCAUGAAGUAUGCUUUUUGCGAACGCCCGUGAUGUUUAGAGCACGAGCGACAACGGAGCGAGUGCUAUACAUCGCGUAAGUCCGCAAAAAGUACUUCACGCACAGUUUCAUACAAUAUUUUAUCUACGAUAAACAAAUAAAAAAACUGUAACUCUUCGUCGCUGGAAUUAAUUUCUAUUCUACAAUUUUUAGAAUUUUGACAUUUAAAAAUUCUAACUAUUUUCAAACCACAAAACUGUCAAAAGUUUUGUUGUAAUUUAUUGCUCAUAUUGUCAUCACCAUGACAACGCGAAAGUUAAGGAUAUUUGAUUAUAUGGAAGUGUGUCAAAAAGAGUGCGAAAAAGUAAAUCCCAUUUAAAAUACAUUGUUACUUCACGCACACUUUAAACCCUUCACGCACUGCUAUCUAUAAAGACAGUUUUCACAAACUAAAAACUUAUACAUAAUAUGACAUAGAGUAGAUAAAACGUAUUUAUGCAAUCAAAAGUAAUCAGUUUUAAACGUUAUAGAUUUGUAAGAGAAAGCUCUAACAAUGUAAUAAUCUAAGAGCUAGUGAACCCUCCGAAUAACGGUCUUCCUGCAAGGGUAGAAAUUUGUAUAGUGAUAAUUCAUAGCACACCAAGGCUAAAAACCAUGACCUGGCAGGCAUCAGCCCUGCAAGUGUAUCUACCAGGUGAAUCGGAAAGUGCAUAGUUUGGGGAAAAAAUAAACUUUCUCCUGUAAGGUUUAAAUUUAAGUAUGUGUUUGAGUAAGUCAUUUAGAAGAAAUGUGUACAAUUCCAGGCGAUUCUGAACAGCAUAAGACCUUGCCAGGCGAGGGGAGAAAUUAGAGGUUUUUCCUAAAAUUAAUUUUUUUUGCAUCGAACAAAGUUUUUUUAGGUUUUUUGAAUCAUUCCAAACAGAAAAAGUCUUUACAGAUUUCCUCUUAGGUUAAUACUUUUUGUUAUAUAAACGAAUAAAAAUUUUGAAAAUUGCGAAAUCGGCCAUUUUUAACCCUAAAUCGGACAUUUAACUGAAAAUUUCAAUGUUGCCAAGGUAGGUAGAUAUUCUUUAAACAUUGAUUGAUUAAAUCACGAAGAGUUUUUUGCAAUACAAUAUCGAAAACCCCUUUGUUUUUUAAUUGCUAAACAAGCGGGCGCGACACUGUAGUAUAAGUGAGAACGUUUGAGUUUGCAUAUAUUCAUUAUCUCGAGAAUGGGCAAAUUUGGAGAGAAAUCCUCAGACAGGUCGAUUUUUAUUCUUAAAUUAGGACUUUUUGGCAAUAUAUAAUACUAGUGACGUCAUCCAUCUGGACGUGAUGACGUAAUCGAUGAUUUUUUAAAUGAGAGUAGGGGUUGAGUGAUAGCUUAUUUGAAAGGUUAUUUAAUUCUCUAUUGAGUAAUAUAAACAAUAAUAAAAUUAUUUAUAGAGGGUGUACAAAAAAAUUUUUUUAUUAAAUUAAUUUAGACAAAAAGAAGAAAUUUUUUUGUACACCCUUUGGAAUGAUUCAAAAAACCUAAAAAAACUUUGUUCUAUGCAAAAAAAGUUUUAGGAAAAAUCUCUAAUCUUUCCCCUCGCCUGGCAAGGUCUUAUGCUGUUCAGAAUCGCCUGUCAUUGUGCACAUUUCUUCUAAAUGACUUACUCAAACACAUACUUAAAUUUAAACCUUACAGGAGAAAGUUUAUUUUCCCCUAAACUAUGCACUUUUCAAUUCACCUGGUAGAUACACGUGCAGGGCUGAUCCAUGCCAGGUUAAGGUUUUUAGCCUUGGUGUGCUAUGAAUUAUCACUAUACAAAUUUCUAGACUUACAGGAAGACCCUUAGUCGGAGGGUUCACUAGCUCUUAAACUAUAAAUUAUAUAGUGGCCGGUCAAUGAACGUAAUAAAUUUUAUUGAUCCCAUGAAGUUCGUAAAAAAUGGCAAAAAUCGCACAACGUUUAUUUAUUUCACACUUUUAUAGAAACUGUUAUCAUUUGCGGCAAAAUGUAAAAAUGCAUUCGAAAGAUUCGAAUUCUUAGCGCCAAGAUGAUAAAAAUUUUAUUUAAAAAAUUGAUAUGGCGCGCGUAAUUGACAUUCAAAAUAAUCUUAGGUUGCUUCAAGCGUUGUUUCUAACACAACGGUUCAUUACACAUAAAACGUCCCAAAAAAUAUUUAUCUACUCUAUGUCAUAUUAUGUAUAAGUUUUUAGUUUGUGAAAACUGUCAUUAUAGAUAGCAGUGCGUGAAGGAUUUAAAGUGUGCGUGAAGUAACAAUGUAUUUUAAAUGGGACUUACUUUUUCGCACUGUUUUUAUCUUUUGCGUUGUCAUGGUGACAAUCCUUAACUUUCGCGUUGUCAUGGUGAUGACAAUAUGAGCAAUGAAUUACAACAAAAGUUUUGACAGUUUUAUGGUUUGAAAGUAGUUGGAAUUUUUAAAUGUCAAAGUUCUAAAAAUUGUAGAAUAGAAAUGAAUUCCAGUGACAAAGAGUAAUAGCUUUUUUAUUUGUUUAUCGUAGAUAAAAUAUUGUAUGAAACUGUGCGUGAAGUACCUUUUGCGAACUUACGCGAUGUAUAGCACUCGCUCCGUUAUCGCUAGCGCUCAAAAAAUCGCGUGCGUUCGCAAAAAGCAUACUUCACGAACUGUUUCAUAAAUUACUAUUAUGCAAUCAAAAAUAAUCAGUUUUAAACGUUAUAGUUUUUUAAGAGAAGGCUCUAACAAUGUAAAUUAUACAGUGGCCGGUCAAUGAACGUAAUAAAUUUUAUUGAUCCCAUCAAGUUCGUAAAAACGGCAAAAAUUACACAACGUUUAUUUAUUUCACACUUUUAUAGAAACUGUUAUCAUUUGCGGCAAAAUGUAAAAAUGCAUUCCAAAGAUUCGAAUUCUUACCGCCAAGAUGAUACAAAUUUUAUUUAAAAAAUUGAUAUGGCGCGCGUAAUUGACAUUCAAAAUAAUCGUAGGUUGCUUCAAGCGUUUUUUCUACAGCAUAGCGUACUGAUUAUUGGUAAAUCGACGUUUUCCAUUUCCACCCCCCUGCGAGGGGGAUUUCAGGGGAAGAAGCCCGGAUGUAGGAGUGGAAAACUUUUUUUCAUCUUUUUUGGGGUCCCAAAAUUGACAUUCUCACGAAAUUCAGCUUGUUUGUUGGCUUUUAAAGGUCAAAUCUCUGACGACUUAUUAUUAUCUAUAGAAAUACAAAAAAGCAUAUGAAGUAAAUAUAUUCUACCUUCUUUAUCUAUUAUAAUUUGUAAGACUAAAUUAUCUAAACUUUUUUUCCAUAUAAAGAUACAUUAGUAAAUAUCAGAGUUUCCAGGUUGCUUGUAUAUUUCAUAGUUUUGCGUAUUACCACAUUAGACUAUUAAUGUACCUACGAAUACCAGAAAAUUGACUAAACCAAAAGUUUUGAAAUUCGUUUGUUUAGCCAAGGAGAUUUUCAGUCAUGAAAGUCUUUGAUAAUAUUUAAUACUUCUUCAGUAGUUAAGGGUUCGUAGUUGUUGACAGUUAAUCGUCAUAUUUUCUCUCCAUCCAGCAUUGGUACUAAGAGCAGCUAGUGUGGAUUAGUGUAUUUAUCCAAAACCAUCUUCUUGGUUUGAGUACGAUUUAUUGACACUUUCUACAGUGGAAUUGAGUUUCCAAUUUAACGCCUUCUCGACAUGCUCAAAAAUCGUAUUGUUACUUUUCCGUUUGUUACUAACUUUGUAUAUCUUUAGUCGGACUGAGUACCUAACUGAAGAGUUUUGGUUUUAAUGUAUCCGAGCUGUGUUAUUUUCUGGAUCAUACUGUGAAUAGGUUAGGUUAGAUUAAGUUAGGUUAAAUAUGAGUAGUCUCUUUAACCAUUCUUCCACUCUACCUAAGAGGCCUAUUAUUGUGGCUCAUCCCUAGGUUAAAGUCCCUUCAGCGCAGGCUUUUUAAUAAAAUUUAUUAUGGCCUUAGUUGACGCUUCUACAAAGUCGUAGAGCUCGAUUUGAUAAUGCUCAAAUAUAUUGAGCUUUAUCCUAUCCAACGGUGGGUAGUUGAAUAGAACGUGUUUCGCCGUCUAGUCAUCAACCUGACAGAAUCUGCAAUUUGUACUUUCUGUCAGUCCGAUUUUGUGAUGUGCCCCUUGAGGCGACAUCAUGUGUCCUGUUAACAGAUCCACGAUGAUUCUCAGAUCACUCCUAUUCAUAUCUAGUAGAUCCAUUCUAGUAGAUCCAUAAAGCCCUUCGAAUAUUUAAGAAUUUUUGUUCAUACCAGGAUAAAAUCAGCCAAAAGAACAUAUCAUUCGCUGUAUAAAAACUUCCUAAAUAAAAAAGAAAUAACAAGGAAAACCAAAAUGAUAGUAUUUAAAACAAUUUACAUACCUAUCACUACAUAUGGAGCAGAGAAUUGGUAUUGAACGACAAAUAAGAAAAGAGACUGCAAGCCGCGGAAAUGAGGUAUUUAAGAAAAGUGGCGGGAGCUGGGAGAACCGAUAAAAGACGUAGCGAUGAUAUUAGAAGAUAAUUAAAAGUAAAAUCAUUAAAGUAAAAAAUUCAUGAAAAGAAAUUAAAAUGGACUGGGCACUUAUUCAGAAUGAACGACGGCAGAUAGGUUAAAAUGACAUGGGAAGCGAGGCCGAUAGGGAAAAACAGGAGAGGCCGACCAAGGAAAACGUGGAAUACCAGUGUGAUGGAAAUAUUGCAGGAUAGAGGAAAAUCGUGGCAGGAAGCCAAAGAAUAGCUAGGGACCGAAAAAAGUGGCGUAAGUUAGCAGAGAAUAACGAGUAUAGAAGACACCUCGACACCUUACGGUAUAAGAGGAUAAUCGAUUAUGUAUGUAUAUUCAUACCAGUAGUUACCUCAUAGUUCAUAGCAGUAGUUACGUUUUAUUAACUCUACCCAGUCCGAUAUUGUUCUUUUGGCUGUACUUCUUGCUAUGCCAACUACAGAUCCUGGGCCUAUAAAUGUCACUUUUUCACCUUUAGGAUCAGCAUAUUUUCCAGGAUUGCUUUAUCCAGUUACAUAGGGUAGUGAAUAUCUCUUUUGAUACUGCUGCAUCAUAAAGAAAAUUUGGUUGUGCAUUAUUAAAUGCGUGACAUCCUUAAAUGCUGCAAUAUUCUGAUUAUUCCCUUUUCUUUAUUAAUUUAAUAUGCUACCUUAUGUACAGGGUGGACAGACUAAAGCACAUAAGUCAAAAUUAUAGAGUUUCAAAAAUUGAAUAAAGCUAUUUGCAUAAAAAAAUAAUUCAAUAUUUCUUAAAAGCCUUUUCACUGAAAAGGUAGAAACGGAAAAGGUAGAACACUUUAAAUAUCUUGGGGUCUUAGUUGAUCGAACUAACGAUAAAAGCAUCAUAAUUAAUGAAAGAAUCCAGGCAGGAAACAGAACCUACUAGAAAUAAAAUAACUUCCUCAAAGAUAAGAAGCUUAGGUUCUCAGAAUAAUAAACUCAAAAUUUACAAAGCAAUUAGACCAGUAAUCAUAUAUAGUGCUGAAGUAAUAUGUCUGGCACAGAAAGAGGAAGAAAGAUUAAGGAUCCUAGGGAGGAAACUAAUUCGGGGGAUUUUAGAAAACUCAUGAAAAAUGAAGUAAGAGAACUUCUGAAAGAAGAACACAUCGUCAGAUUUAUCAAUGCACAGAGACUCAGAUGGAUGGGAUAUAUACAAAGGAGAAAUCCAGAAGCCGCUAUCAAGAAACUUACCAAAUGGAGACCUGUAUCAGGCAGACCACGAGGAAGAUCGAUAAACUAGACAGAACUAUAUAGUAUGAUGAUAAGAUUGAUUAAAAAGAUGGCAUAACCCAGACAUCCAAAGUGAAAGUUCCCCUCCAAACACCAAAUUAUUUUAUAUGGUCCACAUAGUGUUCAGAAAAAAGUCACACCAUUUUAAGCGUCGGGUUUGGGGGGGGGAGAGGGGGAAGAAAUCGGUAAAUUCGUAGUUUUUUGCGUUUUUCGUCAAUAUUUCUAAAACUAUGCGGUUUAACAUGAACAACCUACUAUACAAAAAUGUUCUACAUUAGAUUUGAAACAAAAAAUGUCCAAUGCAUAAUCCUUCUAAAAUGAACGGUUCCAAAGUUACAGAGGUAGUAUAGUAUAAUUGGUCCAAAAAAAGGCCUAACCCAGACAUCAAAAAUAAAAGUUUUGCUCCAACACCAAAUUGUUCUAUAUGGUCCACAUAUGGUUCAGGAAAAAGUUACACCAUUUUGAGCGUCCGGUUUGGGGGGAGAUGGGGGAGAAGUCGAUAAAUUGGUAUUUUUUUACGUUUCUCUAAACGUCAAUAUUUCUAAAACUAUGCUUUAGCGUAAACAAUAUUUUGUACAAAAAUGUUCCACAUAAAAUUUAAAACAAAAAAGGUCUGAUACAUAAUUCUUAUAAAAUCAACGGUUCCAGAGUUACGGAGGGUAAAAGUUGAGGUUAUCGAUACUUUGUAUAUUUUUUGGGCAAUUGAUGAUGACUUUGGGUGGUCAGGUUGACGUUUCUUUAAGGGCUUAUCACUAACAUACCAUCGGCCACUGAAAUAGCAAAUUCUGUUAAAGAAAAUUUUUUUCAAUCAGUAAAAAUAUUAUAAAUUGUCCAAAAAAUAUAAAAAGUAUCGAAAACCUCCACUUUUCACCCUCCGUAACUCUGGAAGUUUACUUUAUAACAAUUAUGUAUAGGACCUUUUUUGUUUUAAAUUUUAUGUAGAACAUUUUUGUAUAGAAAGUUAUUUACGCUAAAGCAUAGUUUUAGAAAUAUUGACGAAAAACGUAAAAAAACUACUAACUUAACGACUUCUCCCCCAUCUACCCCCCCCCCCCCCCCCCCACCCAAAGCGGACGCUCAAAAUGGUGUGACUUUUUUCUGAACAUUAUGUGGACCAUAUAGAACAAUUUGGUGUUGGAGGAGAACUUUUACUUUGUAUGUUAAGGUUUGGCCUUUUUUGAACCAAUUAUACUAUACUACCUCCGUAACUUUGAAACCGUUUAGUUUAGAAGGGUUAUGCAUAGGGCCUUUUUUAUUUCUAAUUUAGUGUAGAACAUUUUGAUAUAAAAGGUUGUUUAUGCUAAAUAGUGUUAGUUUUAGAAAUAUUUACGAAAAACCUAAAAAACUAAGAGAGUCGAAGACCAUAAGCAAAAACAGGAACGAAUGGAGAAAAAUUGUAGAAGAUGCCAAGUCACUAACAAAGUCAUCAUAGCCAGAAUGAUCGCCAACGUUCGGAACGGACAGGCACCCUAAGAAGAAAAGAGACAAGAUGCAUCUGAUUAGGUCAUCGAGCAGCAAUAGUUUCAUACCACACAUAACAUAUUGCUCUUCCUUUUUUAUUGUCAUGUAUGGUCAAAUUGGACGUUCCACAACUGACGUUUACAAAAAGCUACAGAAUAAGUCAAAGAUGGACUUGGUAAACACUGUUCUAAAUAAAUCAAAUGUAUACACUCGUGCGGUAGUAUCAUUUUGAUACAUCUUUGUGUCGUUUUGUGCACCAGGUGCACCAGGCGUCGGUUGUGACGGCGUAUUCUUGUUCUGCGACCCCAAAGAGCCCGAGUAAUCUGUUUGCAUCAAUUUAGUACCGAAAAUCCUCGAAACUUCAGAUGACGUGCCUUGGCAGUGAAUCUGGACCCCAGGUGCUCCGAUGGUCAGUUCUGAUGGUGUAUUCAUCUUCAGCAACCCCAAAAACCCCUGAGUUGCAAAAUCUGACCGUUAAUACACUUAUUUUGACAUGUUUAUUCACUUUUAUAUGCAUUUUAUCCCCUUUAAAAUGCAACUAGGUAUUUCCAUCCAUUUUUUUUAUAGCAGACUUUUUUCCUGACAUCAUCCUGACCAAAAUUCAAAAAGUUUUAGUCUCUAGGCCCGUAGACAAAACAUGUUUUAAGUAGUAAUUUAAAUAUCUGUAUAUUCUUAAACAAGUAAGACGAUAAUGUCAAGCAAUUGAGGUACCUAACAACUUUAGUCAUGAGUCAUGCCUAUAAAUCAGCAAAACUUAAUAUUUAUAUCAGGUGUACUUUUUCACAUAAUAUUUAUAACGUCUAAAGAUUUAUAGGAAUUGAAAGGUUGAAAAUGUAGGCUACUUAAAAGCAAUGUGAAAUAAACGUGUAUUCUUGAGUCAGUCGGUGGAGAAAAAAUAUAUGGACAUGUGCAUGUACAAAAAGAAAAAUCGAUUUUUUUUACUUAGGUGCUUUAGUCUGUCGGCUCUUUUCAUUUUUUUUGAUGCUCCUGUACAUACAUUUUACAAUUUUAUUGUUGGAUGUAAGAUUCGUGCCAGCCUGUAUUAAAAGUUAUUUGAGUAAAUUAAUUCUCAAAAUUCUCAAAGGUAGUCCUGCGUUACCACAAAUUGCAAUGGCAUUAGUAUUAGUAUUUUCGAUUCUAAAGUAGUUAGUUUAAUUUGUUUGCACAUUUUCAGCAAUUCCAUGUCCUUCACAACCUUUGAAAAUAUUUAAAAGAGACCACACACAAGCAAAUUAAGUUUAACUUUAAACGACCUUGUUUAUAAGUUCCACUACAUUAGUCAAAAAUCGUCAUUACCAGUCCAUAAUUGUCCACUGCUAAACAUAGGCUUCCUCUAAAAACUUCUAUUGGAUGGCCUUUCCGAGUUUUGAAAUAUAUGACGUAUUUGUAUAAUUAUGUUAUACAAGUUACACAAAGAGGCUUAAAAGUGAUUCAGAUCACCUUAUUUUUAUUGCAUGUGUGUGUUUUUUUUUCAAGUAAGUAGAAAAUUGGAAAGAAGUUGAGUCAUGUUAUAAUUAUUCCGAAUUCUUGUAUGGGAGUGACUAACCUACCAAACGAGAAAAUAUUUUAAAGGCAACCUUAGUUACGAUUUUUUACGAUGGCUCAUAAUUUUUAAACCCUCUUAAAAGUUUCUUUUCCUUCUUGUGCCUACCGUUACGAAUGUUGGCAAUCAUUCUGGCAAUGAUAAUCUUAUUAGCUGCUGCCUUGAAAAGCCCUGUAGGGGAUGUCGCAAACCAGGUCCUCAAGCUCCUGAACCAAUAUAUUCUUCUUCUUCCGACGCUUCUUUUACCAUUCACCUUUCCCUGCAAAAUGCAUUAUAACAGGUUACAAGGUUGUAUAUUAUUAUUUUGUUUCAUUUCUUGUGAUGUGGCCGAAAUAGUCUAAUUUUGUUCUUUUUACCGUGCACACUAUUUCCUUCUCUUUGUUAAGUUUUGGAGUAUUUUGGCAUUUGAUAUUUUGUCCAUCUAUGAUAUCUAAAGAAUUAUUCUAUAUGUCCACAUUUCUUGUUGCUUCCAAGACUCUACUCCAUGGAUAAUAAGAUGGAGAUUAUAUAACAUCGGAGGAGUCUGAGUUUCAGUUCUAAAUUCAAAUUGUGUAAUUUGAACACCUUGGACAUUUGGAUGAACGCUGCCCUUGCUUUUUCUAGUCAAUUCUAAAAGUUUAGUAGGCUAAAUCAAUGUAAGAGUAGAUAAAUGAGGUGGAAAAUUUUGAUUGAAUUUUUGUAAAGAUUUUAUUUUUGGACAUAAAGCAUUUUUUAUUUUGUAGUUACUAUUACUUAUUUAUUUUAAUUUUGUAUUUUUUUAGUAAUCGAUAUCUAUAUAUUCUUGGUAUGUGUACUGUAUGUGUGUACCAUGCAUACCUAAAUAUAGAACAGAAAAAUUACUGUUUCAGAUGCUCCUUUACUGAGCAUUGUUUGGCUGUGAAAAUACAUAGAUUAUAACUCAAUAUUGUAAAAUUAAAAGCCAAAAAUUGUAAACGUUCUUAAAAGUACUGUGUAAAAAAACGUUCUGAGAAAUUUCAUAAUUUUUUCGUAAUUUUUUUAGGAAUUGAAUUUUGUGAUUUAUUUCAUUAUUGUUCUGACAUUAUUAGUAAUAUAUACAUUGUUAAACAGG